rnacentral:rRNA from 1 species
UACAGAGGGUGCGAGCGUUAAUCGGAAUUACUGGGCGUAAAGCGCGCGUAGGCGGCUUUGCAAGUCGGGUGUGAAAUCCCCAGGCUUGACCUGGGAACUGCAUUCGAGACUGCAUUGCUAGAGUAUGGGAGAGGGAAGUGGAAUUUCCGGUGUAGCGGUGAAAUGCGUAGAUAUCGGAAGGAACAUCAGUGGCGAAAGCGACUUCCUGGACCAAUACUGACGCUCAUGUGCGAAAGCGUGGGGAGCAAACAGG